UGUCUGAGUGGUACUAUAUCAUUACAAAAUAUUUAAAUUUAAAACAUCCUUACAAGUUUUAAGACUACAGACAAUAAGUCCAGGUGUGUGGAAGUUAAAGAUGUUCUAGCCACACAAAUUGAGGGAAGGAGGUAGGUGCAAUUUAACUCAUGAUUAUUUGGGUAUCGUGAAGGUGGUUAUUUUUCACAUUUGGUCAGCCAGGUGGACGACUAGUCAAGGAAACCAUGUCUGAUUUAGAUCUAUAAAAGGAGGCACAUUUGAACCAUUCUAUAUUCUAAGUCAAAUCAACAUGGCUGAGGAUCUGCUAUCAACAGGAAUUUAUUUCCAGGAUAUAGUGAGCGGGCAUUGACAUCACCGGCAACAACAACACGAAAUGCGAUACAAGAUACUGACAAGACAGAUGCUGCGAACCCUGACACUGUUCUCUUUAAACAUACCGGAGAAGAAGAGACUGUGUUCAGUUAAAAAGUCAAUGUUAAACAACCAUGAAAUUAUCGAUUAUUCAAUACGAAGAUUAUUCAAAGAUAGGAUUUUGUUUUUCUCCUCUUUUUCACGUGACAAACACGAUAUGAACUACACUAGACGUUUAUUAGUGGAAGGUAAUGCCAUGCAUCAUCUAUUGGGAUUCAUGUAACCAGUGUAACUCAAACGUUCCCAUGGACACAUUCUGUGAGCUACAGUAUCUUCUGACGAUGGUCAUAUCUACUGUAACGGAAGAUUCCGUCAUUGUCGGUGUAAACGACAAACUUGCUUUGCCCCCAAUACUGUCAACAACCUCAUGCUGUAACGAGAAGAUAUAAGAUUAGAGUUUACUAUAUAAAAAAAUGGGUCCCGGCGUUUUAUCGUUCAUUUUUUCCCUUGAAAGAAUAUUGUAAUUUGUAUUUUUCCUGGAUUGCCUUAGUUGCGAGCUUUACGUCAAUACCACUUGUAAAUUAACUCGCGGUAUAAGUUAUAAAAUAAAAAAUACAUUUUAGUUGGAUUUAAUAUCUACCCAUGAUCAUGUGACAUUCGAUAAUGCUUCUUUGAGCAGCCUUUUGCAUGUAUAAUAUAACCCUACAAGCGAAAAUAUCAUUUGCAUGUGUGUAAUUGGUGUUAAUUCAUACGUAAUGGCUAUUUUCGUUUCUCUAUUUUUUCCAAUAGAGUGUGAAUGGAAUAUGGUAGAACCAACUUAAACAUAACGAUGAAAAUAUCAAAUGUUUGAAAUAUCUUAUAGAAAUCGAAUAAAAAAUUCUUUUACUGUGGUACUAUAUUUUGACAACCUUUCCCAUGAAAUUAGAAUCGGCUGUUUCCAUCACAUGUUCGGCUAUUACGUCUCUUCGUAUAACGCCGAAAAAAUAAUGCCGAUUAUAAUUGUUUGAUAACCCUAAAUAAAAACACAGAGAUUAAAAUGCAAAAAACAUAUGAGGAAUCA